CACGUAGGGCGCAAGCGUUGUCCGGAAUUAUUGGGCGUAAAGAGCUCGUAGGCGGUCUGUUGCGUCCGCUGUGAAAACUCGGGGCUUAACCCCGGGCCUGCAGUGGGUACGGGCAGACUAGAGUGCGGUAGGGGAGACUGGAAUUCCUGGUGUAGCGGUGAAAUGCGCAGAUAUCAGGAGGAACACCGGUGGCGAAGGCGGCUAUCUGGACGGUUUCUGACGCUAAGACGCGAAAGCGUGGGGAGCAAACAGGG
rnacentral:rRNA from 1 species